UUAGAGUUUGAUCCUGGCUCAGGAUGAACGCUAGCGGCAGGCUUAACACAUGCAAGUCGAGGGGCAGCAUGGUGGUAGCAAUACCACCGAUGGCGACCGGCGCAAGGGUGCGUAACGCGUGAGCAACAUGCCCUCUUCACGGGGAUAACCAGGAGAAAUCCGGCCUAAAACCCGAUGGUGAUCUGGACAGGCAUCUGUUCCGAUCUAAAACUGAGGUGGAAGAGGAUUGGCUCGCGUGGCAUUAGCUAGUCGGCGGGGUAACGGCCCACCGAGGCGACGAUGUCUAGGGGAACUGAGAGGUUUAUCCCCCACACUGGAACUGAGACACGGUCCAGACUCCUACGGGAGGCAGCAGUGAGGAAUAUUGGACAAUGGUCGGAAGACUGAUCCAGCCAUGCCGCGUGAAGGACAAGGUCCUAUGGAUUUUAAACUUCUUUUGCGCGUGAGCAAUAAGGGCUAUGCAUAGUCCGAUGAGAUUAGCGCGCGAAUAAGCAUCGGCUAACUCCGUGCCAGCAGCCGCGGUAAUACGGAGGAUGCGAGCGUUAUCCGGAUUUAUUGGGUUUAAAGGGUGCGUAGGCGGGACGUCAAGUCAGCGGUGAAAUGUCGGGGCCCAACCCCGGAACUGCCGUUGAAACUGACGACCUGGAAUGCGGAUGCUGUGGGAGGAAUGUGUGGUGUAGCGGUGAAAUGCAUAGAUAUCACACAGAACACCGAUUGCGAAGGCAUCUCACAAAUCCGUUAUUGACGCUGAGGCACGAAAGUGCGGGGAUCGAACAGGAUUAGAUACCCUGGUAGUCCGCACAGUAAACGAUGAUGACUCCCUCCCGGCAAUCACGGUCCGUGGCCAAGCGAAAGCGAUAAGUCAUCCACCUGGGGAGUACGACCGCAAGGUUUGAAACUCAAAGGAAUUGACGGGGGCCCGCACAAGCGGAGGAACAUGUGGUUUAAUUCGAUGAUACGCGAGGAACCUUACCCGGGCUCGAACGGCUGUUGAACGACUCAGAGAUGAGGAGGUCCUUCGGGACGACAGUCGAGGUGCUGCAUGGUUGUCGUCAGCUCGUGCCGUGAGGUGUCGGCUUAAGUGCCAUAACGAGCGCAACCCUUGCCGUCAGUUACCAGCAUGCAGUGAUGGGGAUUCUGGCGGGACUGCCACCGUAAGGUGGGAGGAGGGGGGGGAGGACGUCAAAUCAGCACGGCCCUUACGUCCGGGGCGACACACGUGUUACAAUGGUGGGUACAGAGGGAAGCCAGCCGGUGACGGUGCGCAAAUCUCAAAAACCCAUCCCAGUUCGGAUCGGAGUCUGCAACUCGACUCCGUGAAGUUGGAUUCGCUAGUAAUCGCGCAUCAGCCAUGGCGCGGUGAAUACGUUCCCGGGCCUUGUACACACCGCCCGUCA
rnacentral:rRNA from 1 species